UGCAUUUCCUCAAGAGGAAUAUAUUUCACGAGGCCACUAACAACUGUUCGAGGGGAUUCUUCACCGACAUCAAUUUCUUCAACAUAGAGUGAAUCUGCAUCUGGGUGCUUCUGAACUUUUUUGAUGAGGCCAACAGGUUCUAUUGACAAAGUUUUAUGUUGUGGUUUUAUUUGCCGAUAUGAAUGGGGUACUUGAAGAGUAUUAUAUUCUUCCCUUUUAUUUUUGGUGCUUUGCUCACAUACUUUGAUUCACAAAAAU